rnacentral:rRNA from 1 species
GACGAACGCUGGCGGCGUGCUUAACACAUGCAAGUCGAACGGAAAGGCCCUGCUUUUGUGGGGUGCUCGAGUGGCGAACGGGUGAGUAACACGUGAGUAACCUGCCCUUGACUUUGGGAUAACUUCAGGAAACUGGGGCUAAUACCGGAUAGGAGCUCCUGCUUCAUGGUGGGGGUUGGAAAGUUUCGGCGGUUGGGGAUGGACUCGCGGCUUAUCAGCUUGUUGGUGGGGUAGUGGCUUACCAAGGCUUUGACGGGUAGCCGGCCUGGGAGGGUGACCGGCCACAUUGGGACUGAGAUACGGCCCAGACUCCUACGGGAGGCAGCAGUGGGGAAUAUUGCACAAUGGGCGGAAGCCUGAUGCAGCAACGCCGCGUGCGGGAUGACGGCCUUCGGGUUGUAAACCGCUUUCGCCUGUGACGAAGCGUGAGUGACGGUAAUGGGUAAAGAAGCACCGGCUAACUACGUG